rnacentral:rRNA from 1 species
GACGAACGCUGGCGGCGUGCCUAAUACAUGCAAGUAGAACGCUGAAGCUUGGUGCUUGCACCGAGCGGAUGAGUUGCGAACGGGUGAGUAACGCGUAGGUAACCUGCCUGGUAGCGGGGGAUAACUAUUGGAAACGAUAGCUAAUACCGCAUAAGAGUAGAUGUUGCAUGACAUUUGCUUAAAAGGUGCAAUUGCAUCACUACCAGAUGGACCUGCGUUGUAUUAGCUAGUUGGUGAGGUAACGGCUCACCAAGGCAACGAUACAUAGCCGACCUGAGAGGGUGAUCGGCCACACUGGGACUGAGACACGGCCCAGACUCCUACGGGAGGCAGCAGUAGGGAAUCUUCGGCAAUGGACGGAAGUCUGACCGAGCAACGCCGCGUGAGUGAAGAAGGUUUUCGGAUCGUAAAGCUCUGUUGUAAGAGAAGAACGAGUGUGAGAGUGGAAAGUUCACACUGUGACGGUAUCUUACCAGAAAGGGACGGCUAACUAUGUG